rnacentral:rRNA from 1 species
CGUGAAAUUGUUGAAAGGGAAACGCUUGAAGUCAGUCGCGUUGGCCAGGGAUCAACCUUGCUUUUUUUUGCUUGGCUUAUUUCCUGGUCAAUGGGUCAGCAUCAAUUUUGACUGAUGGAAAAAGUUCAAGGGAAUGUGGCAUCCUUUGGAUGUGUUAUAACCUUUGUUCGCAUACAUUAGUUGGGAUUGAGGAACUCAGCACGCCGAAAGGCC